rnacentral:lncRNA from 1 species
CCAAGUUCAUGAUUGUGUUGCAAACAUUUUAAGUUCCAUGAGUUCGUCGCCAUAUCUGUGGACACAAGACGUGAGAAAGGAAACUGAGACAUUUAAAAGAGGAUGCCAUUCCAUCCCAAUGGCAUAAUCUUCUUACCUACCUAUCAUCACGACCGCCCAUCCCUAGACUAACGAGAGCCUUAACUACCAAUCGAAGACUCAAGUUACAAAACGAACGGUUUUAAAGCAUCAGAAAAUUAUAUGUUUUUUGCAAGAGACAGUCCACUCGGCAAAAAAUCUCUAUCUUGAGCUCUCUUCUCAAACAUUGCCUUCAAGAUAUGUUUUGAUGCAAGUUCCAAAUGGUAAAAAUAAUCCAUUCAGAUGACAAAGGAUUGGAUAUUUCUGUCAGCUUCGAAGUGAAAGAUGACUUAUCAUUCAAGAUAUAUCAUAAUCAUACUCAACUCAAAAACGGCUGUGUAUCCCACUGUUUAAGAUUUUCUGAAAGAAUCAACACUGUAACAGAAGCCAUCAACGUUGGAGCUUUUUUGGGAUCCAAUGAGCUUCAGACAGACACGGAUACAUAUGAUAAUAUUUGUAAAUAAUUUAUUGAAUUCAUUAACUCUGUAAACAUUAAUCAUCUACAAUAUUCGUUGCUUUAAUUUCUUUUUCAACAAAUGAUCAUCCUCUUCAAGUUUCCCAAGGCCAAAAGAGGAUUUUUUUUGACAAGAAAACAACCAAGCAACUAAAAAAGUCUUCGCUUUCAUGAUCAAGUCUGCGGGAGGCAGUGCAUAUUUUAAAAAUGUAUAUAAAUACUUUCAACAAAAGGACUAUUUUGUUGUUCCCAA